CGCGGAUUAGAGCAGUGGUCAGCUCGCUACUUUGACUUGGUAGAGGUCGCCGGUUCGAAUCCGGCAUCCGCAA
rnacentral:tRNA from 1 species